GUCACGUGACGCGCGAGGCGGGGGAUGAUGGGAGCGGCGGGCAGGCGGCCGGGCCCCUCCUCGACCCCCGCCGCGGGACUGGAGCCCGGAGGAGCCUGUGCAAGGAAGGCCCGAGAGGGACGGGGAAGGCUGGCACGAGGGGGGACGGAUGGGCCUUCAGAUGCUGCGAAGGGGAGCCUGUGGGAGGACGAUUAAGGCUUGCACUGCGUGGCCUCAAGAGGGGCAGAAAUAGCAUUGGUGGGCGGGAACUGCGAGAGCUGAUUAAGGAAUACUUCAAGCAACUGCUUGGCGAGGCACCUGCCAGUGUAACAGUAUAAACCCAAAAGGAUGAAAGAAGAGGAGACAACAGCAACAAAGUUAGAAGUUGGAAAGCAGACGGACGAGCAGUAAAUAACAUGGCAGACCCAAGAAAACUGAAUCCUGAGUCAACAGUAGGAAAAGUGAAACAAGCAACCCAGUUUACAUCACAGAAUCCCUAAAAGGCCCAGGAUUUGGUGGUUUCAUGUACCGUAUUUGCCGGCAUAUAAGACGACCCCCUAACAUUUCCACUCAAAAUACAGUUUGUUAUAUGGUCGGCUGU